UACGUAGGGUGCGAGCGUUAAUCGGAAUUACUGGGCGUAAAGCGUGCGCAGGCGGUUUUGCAAGCCGGAUGUGAAAUCACCGGGCUUAACCUGGGAAUGGCAUUUGGGACUGCAAGGCUGGAGUGCGGCAGAGGAGACUGGAAUUCCUGGUGUAGCAGUGAAAUGCGUAGAUAUCAGGAGGAACACCGAUGGCGAAGGCAGGUCUCUGGGCUGACACUGACGCUCAUGCACGAAAGCGUGGGGAGCAAACAGG
rnacentral:rRNA from 1 species